GGCUCAAUGGUCUAGAGGUAUGAUUCUCGCUUUGGGUUCUGCGUCUGUCUACUCUGCGAGAGGCCCCGGGUUCGAUCCCCGGUUGAGCCC